AGUNAAUUGAGCAGACAACGAUAUUUUCCUUUCAUUUCAAUUACUACAGUUUGAAGUAGGUACGUUUCUGUCGUAUAUAAUUUUCAAAAGCCCGCGAUUGGUCAUGGGGAUCGAGAUAACCGAGAUUAAGUGGAAAAUUUGACCGCCUUUUGUGCUCGAGAUAUCAGAGUUCGGCGAAAUAAAAGAAUCGACAUAACCGAGGAGAAAAUGCUAAGACCAAGAGAGAAUUUUGGCGGUUCCACUUCAAAAACGUCGACAUAACAGGGUUGGCGAGUUAACCGAAGUCGAGAUAAGCGGGUUCAACUGUAUAUUUAUAAUAUGGCCAUUGAAUACAUUUUAUAUGCAUUUCCAAAAAUAGACUUCUGAACUCUAUUUUAGAACAUGAUGACAUCAUACAAUUAUCAUCCACCAUACUUUAAAAGUGGGUGUCAUUUUGUGAANAACUGGAAAUUGAACACAUCCUUCUAAUCUGAACACAUCCUUCCAACCUGAACACCAUCAAACACAUCGAGUCUGGUCAGUGGCNUACCAAUGGUGGGGCGCUCCGCCCAUUUCUCGGACUGUGUGUGCUCUAAGGUUACAUACUGUGUGUGCAGUUACUUGAGUUACUGAGUCAGUUGGCGUAUGACCGUUAUCACUCUAGUUAUCAUUCAUUCAAUUUUUUAUCAUCAUCAUUGCCAAUUGNGCAGGCAUCAUUUAUGAUCAUUAUAAUUCAUUAUGUAANAGAUUAUUAAUAAUUUACCGAAUAAGUUUAACUUUUAAGUAAGUUUNAAAAAAUAUAAAGAUUAGUUGCGUNNCAAGUUACAUUCAAUUAUUUUUCAUUUGAAAUACCAAAUUUGGUAAAAGUGCAGUUCAGGUGCGAAAUAUUAUUUCUGUUUGAAUCUCUUAUUUCCCCGUGUAAACUUAUGUNAAUUCUUUAUAAAAAGUAUUUUAAAAGUUAUAUAACCAUCUUUUUAUUGGAAUACAACAACAAUUUAACAAAUUUUACGAGAUAAAAAAAAGUACAUNUUUAUGAAUCUUUCGUGUUUNACUGAGCCAUUGUGGUAAAUCAAGGAUAACUCUUCUGUCUUUAAAGAUACUUUAUAAAAGUCGCCCAAUUGGAUGAAUCUUGUUAAAAUAAAUGAUGUAUUUUUAUUUUAUAACUUUACUAUCAACUAUAACCGGAGUUGCCCGGGGCUGCAUUCAAACAAAAACAUCUGCUACGUCCUUUUAGCUCACAUUGCUAUUAAAGGAAAUGGCAACAACAAAACAACAACACUAUAGUAAAAAUAAUAAUAAUUAAUUUGUCUCCUAUUAAAAACAAUUAAAAUAACUUAUGUAAACCUUUCGUUUUCCCGUUUUCCGAUGACACCCAGAAGGAUCAUGAUGGGAUCCCGAACCCGAUGUGAUUCCGAUAGAAUCCUGGUCAUGGUGGGAUCCCGAUCCCGGUAAGAUACUGAUCCCGGUGAGAUCCAUUUCCGGUGGGUAUCCCAAACUAAAUGAGAACCUAUCCGGCGGGAUCCCGUUUCGGUGAGAUUCCGAUCCCGNUAAUUGUGGUGAGCUCACAUACUUGACAUACGNACCCAGCUUACAAGCCACAUUGCAAUUGUUACGAGCGCCUUAGGAGAAAUUCCAGUUGUAUUAACGUUAUUUGUUGCCCCACAAGGUGCGCAUAUAAACCAAAUGCUGCACCAUUAAAAAUGCCUGUUGCAUCAACAAUUUUAGUUAUUGUUUCUUGGUCGUCCUGCAAUUUUAAACAAAAUGAUCCUACAACCAGCAAAGCCAAAACGAGUACCAUCUUAUAAUAUAAAAAAAAUAAUCUCUAGCCCUCACUUUACUCAGCGCAAAUCAGUCACCAGUAAUAAGCGCAUUUGCAUACGAAAAAGAGGAGGGGGUGCUCAAAUUAGAGCUGACCAAUCACGGACAGCGUAUUAGCAGCCUUCAGGGUGAUCAGCUUCACACCAGGUCCAGGACAAUGAUGAUGUGUGUGUCCACUGCUUAGUCAGUGAUCCAAUUNUAAUNUGCCCCCCCCCCCUUUUUCAAUCUGCCCCCCCCCCUUUCCCCGAAUGACUUCAAAGGACAACCCCUAUAUUCCGAGCUCUCUGAGAGGGGAAAAAAAGAAAGUGGGGGGGGGGCGCGCUUGUGCGUAAUGAAGAAUCUAGUAUUUCAUUCUUUUUUGUGAACAUGCUUAGUUUGAAAAUUUCGUUUAGCAUACUAACUUAUAUUAUAUGAUUGAAAUUAUUAAGAUGUUUUCAAGGCUUUUUUCAGAUAAAAGAGAAAAUUUUCUAUUGCAGAACUCGGUGGAAUUCCUUCCAUUCCAUCAAAGAACAAGGAGGCACGUUUGAAUGUAGAUAAAAAAAUGGUUUUUAGUAAUUUUUAUUUAUAAUUAAUAAUUACAUUACAUGCAGAGAGAAAAAAAACUACUUACCUUUUUAUAAUUAUAAGAAUUUCAUUUAAAAUUUAACACAGGCAUAUAAUUAGUUCAAAUCCAAUAUACAAGUUUUUUUUUUUUUCUUUGUUAGUAUCGGUAUUGAUUUUUCCAUUUUUUCUGUUCACAUUUUUCUUAACAUACCCUUAAAUAAAACAAUUUAAAAUAGAAAGU
rnacentral:antisense_RNA from 1 species